rnacentral:lncRNA from 10 species
ACAACCCGCUCGGCUCUUCUUCCAUAUUGUAGAGUGUUGUUUUUUUUUUUGCUCUUUGCAAUAAAUUUUGCGACUGGUUACUGUUUGGGUCCACAUUGCUUUUAUGAGCUGUAAGACUCACCGUGAAGGUCUGCAGCUUUUUUCCUGAAGUCAGCGAAAGCGCAAGCCCAGCAGGAAGAGCGAACAAUUCCAGACGUGCUGUCUUAAGAGCUGUAAUACUCUCUCCGAAGGUUUGCAGUUUCACUCCUGAGUUAGCGAGACCACGAACCCACCAGAAAGAAGAAUACUCCUAACACAUGGGAACAUCAGAAGGAACAAACUCCAGACACGUCACGUUAAGAGCUGUAACACUCACCGCGAGGGCCCGUGGCUUCAUUCUUGAAGUCAGUGAGAUCAAGAACCCACCAAUUCGGGACACACUACCUCAGCCCUUGGGGCGUUCAUAUUUUACAAGUGAAAAGCAGCCGUUAAACGACAAAUUACACUGUUUAAACAGUCACUGUAACACAUGCUCUUGAGAAAACGUUCAGGUUACAAAAUGUUGAGGAAAAACAAGCAAAAUCUCAUGACCUUACUUUGCAAAUUAAACGAGAUAAUGUAAGCAAACGCUUGGUGACAUUUCCAUGAAAAUUAGGUGUUAUCACAAUUAUUCUUAUUGUAAAGUGGAUCAUUUAGAACACUGUAUUUUAACCAUUUUGCUUGUGCCACUUUAGACAAGUUUGUUAAUCUCUUGACCACUUUAAUCUCACAGCAGAAAUCCCUCAAAGGCUAGGUCUAGCACAAUGGUUGUCAUGUGGUACAUUUCUGAUCGUGCAUUUAUUUAUGCUACUAUUGAAAAACAGAUUCGAGGUUAUUUACACAACUAUACUGUAAGAUAAAGUGAAAAAUGUUAAUUUAAAUCAAGAUAAAGGGAACAUAGAGAAAAGUAAGGUGAGACAAAAUAAUGCACACUGUAAAUCGCACACUGUAAAUCACACCCUGCCCUCUAUCUUCAAGAGCAUGGAUUAUAAAGGGAGAUGACCUCUUCCAGGGGAUUAGAGAAGACUUCUCCCAGGAAGUGAUGUUUAAACUGAAAACUAAAGGCCUAGUUGGACAAAAAUGUGAUUCCAGCAUUCCAGGGAGAUUAAAGAGCAGAACACUUCCAGACACCUGAGAGAAGGCCUGAGCAGCUUGUGUACAGAGAGCUCAAGAGAGUGUUCAUGAAGGUGGGGUCUGAGGUGGACAGGAAGGCAGGG